CCUACGGGUGGCUGCAGUGGGGAAUCUUGCGCAAUGGCCGAAAGGCUGACGCAGCGACGCCGCGUGCGGGAUGACGGCCUUCGGGUUGUAAACCGCUGUUGCCCGGGACGAACGCCUCCCAUCGGGGAGGGUGACGGUACCGGGUGAGGAAGCACCGGCUAACUCUGUGCCAGCAGCCGCGGUAAUACAGAGGGUGCGAGCGUUGUCCGGAAUCACUGGGCGUAAAGGGCGCGUAGGCGGCCGCUUAAGCGUGUGGUGAAAGCGCGGGGCUCAAC
rnacentral:rRNA from 1 species